GUGCAACUUUGGCAGAACAUAUACUAAAAUGAAAAUGAUACAGAGAAGAUUAGCAUGGCCCCUGUGUGAGGAUGACACAUAAAAAUCAUUUUAGUUUAUAUUU
rnacentral:snRNA from 1 species